rnacentral:pre_miRNA from 3 species
CAAAGUGCUUACAGUGCAGGUAGUUCAAUAUAAUCUACUGCAGUGGAGGCACUUCAAGC